rnacentral:rRNA from 1 species
AUGAUCAGUCCGCAGCAUCCUAAAUGUGCAGGAGGCGGCGGCGGCCAUGAUGAGGAGCCUCCUCAGCGGCCGAAGCAGCAGCUGCCGCGCGACUCCCGCGGCUCGCUCGAGGUCUUCAACCCCUCCUCUGCGGCCGAGCCCCCCGCCGCGUUCCGCCCCGCCGCCUCGCCGUUCCGCCAGGACGACGACGACAACAUCGAGGAUGUCGACAGGGCGACGCAGCGGGCGGCGGAGUGGGGCCUCGUGCUCCAGACCAACGAGCACACGGGCCGGCCGCAGGGCGUCUCCGCCCGCAGCUCCGGGGGCGGCUCCGCCCGCAGCAGCUCCGACGACAAGGCCGUCGCCGGCGCCGGCAUCCCCCGGGUGUCGGAGGAGCUCCGGGCGGCGCUCUCGGCGUUCCAGCAGACGUUCGUCGUGUCGGACGCCAGCCGCCCCGGCCACCCCAUCAUGUACGCCAGCGCCGGCUUCUUCAACAUGACCGGCUACACCUCCAAGGAGGUCGUCGGAAGGAACUGCCGCUUCCUCCAAGGCUCCGGCACCGACCCGGCGGAGAUCGCAAAGAUCAGGCAGGCUCUAGCCGACGGAUCAAACUACUGCGGCCGUGUCCUCAACUACAAGAAGGAUGGCACGGCAUUCUGGAACCUCCUGACCAUUGCCCCCAUCAAGGAUGAGGAUGGCAGGGUCCUCAAGUUCAUAGGGAUGCAAGUGGAAGUGAGUAAAUACACUGAAGGGAACAAGGACACUGUUGUUCGUCCAAAUGGACUGCCAGAGUCACUCAUCAAAUAUGAUGCCAGGCAGAAGGACCAGGCCCGUAGCUCAGUGUCUGAGCUUCUGUUGGCUCUCAAGAACCCACGGUCAUUGUCAGAAUCAAGUAAUAGCACCUUCAAAAGAAAGUCACAGGAAUCAGUAGGCGUGUUAACGGGUGAUGGUACUGGCAAGAGGAGCUCAGAGAGUGGAUCUCGACGUACCUCACGCACUGGAGCAAGAAGCUCACUGCAGAAGAUCAGCGAAGUACCUGAAGGAGGCAAUAAAACUAGAAAAUCGGGUCUGUUUUCACUUAUGGGUUUACUUGGUAUGGGCCAUGGAAAUGUGGAAAAGAACAUGCUGAAACCAAGAGAUGAAGAUCCGCUACUUGACAGUGAUGAUGAAAGACCUGAGAGCUUUGAUGAUGAGCUAAGGAGGAAAGAAAUGAGAAGGGGUAUAGACUUGGCUACUACACUUGAACGUAUCGAGAAGAACUUUGUCAUUACUGACCCAAGGUUGCCAGAUAAUCCUAUUAUAUUUGCAUCCGAUAGUUUCUUGCAAUUGACUGAAUAUAGCCGUGAAGAAAUAUUGGGAAGAAACUGCAGGUUUCUCCAAGGUCCUGAAACUGAUCGUGAUACAGUGAGGAAAAUUAGAGAUGCCAUAGAUAACCAAACAGAGGUCACUGUUCAGUUGAUUAAUUAUACAAAGAGUGGUAAAAAGUUCUGGAACCUCUUUCACUUGCAGCCUAUGCGUGAUCAGAAGGGAGAUGUCCAGUAUUUUAUUGGGGUUCAGUUGGAUGGAACUGAGCAUGUCCGAGAUGCUGCCGAGAAAGAGGGUGUCAUGCUGAUUAAGAAAACUGCAGAAAAUAUUGACGAGGCUGCAAAGGAACUUCCAGAUGCUAAUUUGAGGCCGGAGGACUUAUGGGCCAACCAUUCAAAAGUAGUUUUGCCAAAGCCACAUAUGAAGGAUUCUGCGUCAUGGAGAGCCAUCCAAAAAGUUUGUGAGGGUGGAGAAAACAUUGAUCUGAAACAUUUCAGGCCUGUAAAACCUUUGGGGUCUGGUGACACUGGAAGUGUGCACUUGGUGGAGUUGCUAAACACAGGUGAAUACUUUGCCAUGAAAGCGAUGGAUAAAAGUGUCAUGCUUAAUCGCAAUAAGGUCCAUAGAGCUACUGCUGAACGACAAAUCCUUGAUAUGUUGGACCACCCAUUCCUUCCAACAUUGUAUGCAUCAUUUCAGACAAAGACACAUAUAUGUCUCAUUACAGAUUACUACCCUGGCGGGGAGCUCUUUCUGCUCCUAGAUAGGCAACCUCUGAAGGUUUUGCGGGAAGAUGCAGUCAGGUUCUAUGCAGCUGAAGUUGUCAUUGCACUUGAAUACUUGCAUUGUCAAGGUAUAAUCUACCGAGACUUGAAGCCAGAGAAUAUCUUACUUCAUAGAGACGGGCACAUAUCCCUGACAGACUUUGAUUUAUCUUGCCUGACAUCUUGCAGACCGCAGGUCUUUCUUCCAGAAGAAGGUAAUAAGAAAAGUAGGAGGAAAAGCAGGAGUUCACCCAUAUUUUUUGCGGAACCUAUGCGAGCAUCCAAUUCAUUUGUUGGUACAGAGGAGUACAUCGCACCUGAAAUUAUUACCGGAGCUGGCCAUACAAGUGCUGUUGAUUGGUGGGCGCUAGGGAUUCUUCUGUAUGAAAUGCUGUAUGGUUACACACCCUUCAGAGGUAAAACCAGGCAAAGAACCUUUGCCAACAUCCUACACAAGGACAUCAGAUUUCCCGCGAGCGUAUCGGUGAGCCUCCCAGCGAGGCAGCUGAUCUACAGGUUGCUGCACCGGGAUCCUGCGAAUAGAAUGGGAUCGUAUGAGGGAUCGAACGAGAUAAAACAACACCCGUUCUUCCGCGGCAUCAACUGGGCUCUUGUGCGCGGCACGGCUCCUCCAAAGAUGGACGCUCCACUGUUUUCGGACGACGUGGGCAAGGGAAUGGGCGAUGCUGCUGCUACCGCUGCUGCUGAUAAUCACACCGACAUGUUCUGA